rnacentral:rRNA from 1 species
UAAUUAAGUGGAGGAAAGAAAACUAACCAGGAUUAGUUCAGUAACGGCGAGUGAAGCACUAACAGUCCAGCAUGUGAAUCGUCACUUGUGACGAAUUGUGGUUUGCAGAUCUUUUGUUCAGCUUUUUGGGCUAAGUCUCCUGGAAUGGGGCAGCACAGAGGGUGAGACUCCCGUGUGCCCAGUAGCGUGAGAAAGAUUCAAAGAGUCGGGUUGUUUGGGAUUGCAGCUCUAAUUUGGUGGUAAAUUCCAUCUAAGACUAAAUAUUGGUGAGAGACCGAUAGCCUACAAGUACCGUGAGGGAAAGAUGCAAAGUCGCGCGAAAGCGCUGUCAAAGAGUACCUGAAAUUGCUGAAAUGGAAGCAAAGGAAACUAGUGUGAGCCUUCCUGCAUUUCUCCAACUGCUUGCGGUUGGAGCGCUGCAGCAGGUGUUGUCCUUGCUGGCAGUUGGUGGAGGAAAAUUAUUGUUCUACCUUCUGCUGGUGUGGACUAAAUGGUUUUCUUUUUCCCG